rnacentral:rRNA from 1 species
CAAUAGCGUAUAUUAAAGUUGUUGCAGUUAAAAAGCUCGUAGUUGGAUUUCUGGUCGGAAGCUCCUGUCCUCUGAUGAGCGUACAAGUGCGUCCUACCAUCCUUCUGUUAACCUUUAAGGCUUUCGCGGCUUUCUAGGGGCUCAGAUAUUUUACCUUGAGAAAAUUAGAGUGUUUCAGGCAGGCUAGCGCCGGAAUACAUUAGCAUGGAAUAAUGGAAUAGGACUUUUGCCUCUUCUGUUGGUUAUGAGGCUCGAGUAAUGAUUAAUAGGGAUAGUUGGGGGCAUUAGUACUUAACUGUCAGAGGUGAAAUUCUCGGAUUUGUUAAAGACUAACUUAUGCGAAAGCAUUUGCCAAGGAUGUUUUCAUUAA